AGUUUACAAAAGAUCAGCAUGAGGGAUGGAGAGAUGGCUCAGUGGUAAAGAAUAUGUACCGCUCUUAUAGAGAACCUAAAUUCUGUUCCUAGCACCCAAUUUAGGUGGCUUGCAAUACCCUGGAACACCAGGGGGAUCCAUCACCUCUGGCCUCUGCAGAAAAGACUGGUCAUGCUAUACUGCUGACUAACACCUGCUAAAAGAAGGGUGUCAGGAGAGUCGCACAGUCCCAUGAGCCGCAGUCGCAGUCACAUCUGACUACAGCUCCAGAUGCACCGACCCUCUACCCUCGAGAGAGGCUCAGAAGCAG
rnacentral:lncRNA from 1 species